AAUCAGAUAAAGAUAAUACCUCUUUUAAAGUCACUGAACAGGUGGUACUCUCCAAAGUAAAAUGAAUCAGCUAAAAACUUGUUAACUCAUGUUUGCAUUCUAGUACCUGUUGUCCCUAAAAACAACACCAUUACUAACUUUCCAAUAGAGCAGCCCUGGCAUUUAUUCUCCUACUGCCAUGGCUCUAAAUGCUUCUGUGAAGCAGGUUUUCAUGGGUGGGGCUGUGGCUUGGUGGUAGAGCAUGUGCUCAGCAUGUGCGAGGGCCUGGGCUGGAUUCCCAGCAACCCGACCCCCACCCAAAUUAACAGUGGCCCACUUCAUGCUUUGAAUGUAGCACUUGCUGCAGUGCCCCUGAGGCUUGUCUUAAAAUUGAUGUGUUUUUUCCUCUUCUCCCUUUCCUAAAUUAACAAGUGAAUCAUAAUCCCCUUACAUGAAAUACCCAGAAUGUAUGUAGCCUGUGAAUGGCUUCUUUAAAAACACUCUGUUCUCCCUUAUGGGAAGAAUCACAGCUUUUGGAAGUUCCCUGUGCUUCUCCCUAGCUAGCAAAGCAAUAAACCUUCUUUUUCCUUUUCUCAAAACUACGUCCUUGUUAUUGAAUUGGCAUCAGGGACAAAGGACCAAGCUUUUGGUAACACCAUCCAAAAAUAA
rnacentral:lncRNA from 1 species